UACGUAGGGGGCAAGCGUUGUCCGGAUUUACUGGGCGUAAAGCGCACGUAGGCGGAUCGUUAAGUCGGGGGUGAAAUCCUGGAGCUCAACUCCAGAACUGCCUUCGAUACUGGCGAUCUUGAGUCCGGAAGAGGUGAGUGGAACUCCUAGUGUAGAGGUGGAAUUCGUAGAUAUUAGGAAGAACACCAGUGGCGAAGGCGGCUCACUGGUCCGGUACUGACGCUGAGGUGCGAAAGCGUGGGGAGCAAACAGG
rnacentral:rRNA from 1 species